rnacentral:rRNA from 1 species
CAGCAGCCGCGGUAAUACGUAGGUGGCAAGCGUUGUCCGGAAUUAUUGGGCGUAAAGGGCUCGCAGGCGGUUUCUUAAGUCUGAUGUGAAAGCCCCCGGCUCAACCGGGGAGGGACAUUGGAAACUGGGAAACUUGAGUGCAGAAGAGGAGAGUGGAAUUCCACGUGUAGCGGUGAAAUGCGUAGAGAUGUGGAGGAACACCAGUGGCGAAGGCGACUCUCUGGUCUGUAACUGACGCUGGGGAGCGAAAGCGUGGGGAGCGAACAGGAUUAGAUACCCCAGUAGUCCCUGUCUCUUAUAC